rnacentral:tRNA from 1 species
AAUAAAAUGCCUGAAAAAGGAUUAUCUUGAUAGGAUAAAUUAUGUAAUUAUUUACUUUUAUUAGUUUUAAUA